CCUGCUGUUCCCUCAGCAGUAGCCUACCGCCACAUGCGGCCUUGGUAACGAGACGGUGUGAAGCUGGCGGGACAAAGUAACCCAUACCCGAAAGGGUUAAGCUGAAUCCGUGAGGAUGAAGCGUAUCUACAAGCAUAAUGUGGAAGGGGGC
rfam:Candidatus Contendobacter odensis Run_B_J11, WGS project CBTK01000000 data, contig: COMPJ11_2695_Contig_67